AUUUUUCUCAAAACUGACACUAGAAGAUGACCUAAUUUGAACUUGAUUGGACUGAAUCAUAUGGCUCCAAGCUAGAAGACUUCUAAGCCUACUUAAGCUUUCAUUUGUAAGGUAUGAAAGUGAAAAUAUGACUGUGUACACCCAUGUGUAUGCGAGAGAGAUCACCCAUACAGUCCAUACAAAGAAGGCACCUCAAAGAAAAUUCCCCAGGUACAAGCUCCUUUACUUGGCUGUCUUCCUCCAGGCUGCGGACACUUUCUCCGCUCCUUCACAAACAGAAGGGCCAAAAUCCCUCCUGCCUGAGGAAACCUUCCGAUUUUUCUUGUAAUGAGGAGUCCCAUAGGUUGAUUUUUCAGGGGAUCCACAAAAUUUGCAGUCUUUCUCUAAUCAUACACAGAACUGCGCUGUACAAGCAUCUGUUCAUUCCCUCUGAAGCACCUGGCAUUGGCCACUGUUGGAAGACAGGAUACUGGGCUAGAUGGACUAUUGGUCUGACCCAGUAUGGUCAUUGUUAAUCAUUGUACUACUUGUCCCUUGUGGAUGAAAGGUGGGAGGGAGGUAUGGUUUUUAUCACCAGACUCUGGAAAACCUGACU